CCUGCCCCGGCUGUUCGCUCGGAGCAGGACGAAAGCUCGGAGCUGUAAUCCCUACAGGAGCAGCCAGGCAUGACCAGCAGCCCGCCCCGACAUCAUAUACACCCUGCCUUGUGUCACCUGCAGCCCGGAAAGAGGAUGUAGAUCUGCUGACAUAGUGAGGAACCAAUGAUGUCCGGGCGUAAGACUCUACAGAGAAGAUGGAGCUGGAAGAAGUCCUGAUAUCUGGACCAACAGAGAAGACGUCACUCAGAUCCAGACAGCAUUGAAGGAACCCACACUCUACAGCCUGGAGGCUACGUGUAUGUAAAGAAACAUACCAGGAAGUCCCUUGAGCCCUGAUUUGAAGGAACAUAUCAAGUCCUCUUGACUACAGCCACUGGAUUCAUGCAUCACACUGAAAAAGGUACCGGAGAAGAGUGUCAUAACAUGACAGGACACAAAAUGUAGUGAAUCCUCAUAUUACCAGCCCUAUGACCCGACAUGUAAUAACCCAGAUGUAAGUUACUGUGGUACAUUAGGACAGAAACCUGGAUGGUGCUACAUGACUAACGCCUCAAGACUGAUUGACAUAGUUAAUAAACUGAUAAAUCAACAUUCCUCAUAUUGGGAACUCCCAAGAGACACAUAUUGGGUAUGUGGAAGGAGGGCCUACAAGUGGUUGCCAG